rnacentral:ncRNA from 1 species
GGACGGGCUUGGAUAAUUAGCGGGGAAAGAAGACCCUUUUGAGCUUGACUCUAAUCUGGCAGUGUAAGGAGACAUAAGAGGUGUAGCAUAAGUGGGAGAUAUUAGAUUUCGGUUUGGUAUCGACAAUGAAAUACCACUACUCUUAUUGUUUCCUUACUUACUUGAUUAAAUGGAACGUGUAUCAUUUCCUAGCCAUUAUACGGAUAUAUUUAUUAUAUCUUAUGGUAUUGGGUUUUGAUGCAAGCUUCUUGAUCAAAGUAUCACGAGUUUGUUAUAUAAUCGCAAACAAAUUCUUUAAUGAGAAAAUGCAUUUAUGUAUUUUCAAUUUGAAAAUUUGGUAUAACUCCAAUUACUCAGGUAUGAUCCAAUUCAAGGACAUUGCCAGGUAGGGAGUUUGACUGGGGCGGUACAUCUCUCAAAUAAUAACGGAGGUGUCCCAAGGCCAGCUCAGUGCGGACAGAAACCACACAUAGAGCAAAAGGGCAAAUGCUGACUUGAUCUCGGUGUUCAGUACACACAGGGACAGCAAAAGCUCGGCCUAUCGAUCCUUUUGGUUUAAAGAGUUUUUAACAAGAGGUGUCAGAAAAGUUACCAUAGGGAUAACUGGCUUGUGGCGGCCAAGCGUUCAUAGCGACGUCGCUUUUUGAUCCUUCGAUGUCGGCUCUUCCUAUCAUUGUGAAGCAAAAUUCACCAAGCGUUGGAUUGUUCACCCAUGCAGGGAACGUGAGCUGGGUUUAGACCGUCGUGAGACAGGUUAGUUUUACCCUACUAAUGACAAAACGUUGUUGCGACAGCAUUCCUGCGUAGUACGAGAGGAACCGCAGGUACGGACCAAUGGCACAAUACUUGUUCGAGCGAACAGUGGUAUGACGCUACGUCCGUUGGAUUAUGCCUGAACGCCUCUAAGGUCGUAUCCGUGCUGGACUGCAAUGAUAAAUAAGGGGCAAUUUGCAUUGUAUGGCUUCUAAACCAUUAAAAGUUUAUAAUUUAUUUUAUAAACGACAAUGGAUGUGAUGCCAAUGUAAUUUGUAACAUAGUAAAUUGGGAGGAUCAUCGAUCACCUGAUGCCGCGCUAGUUGCAUAUAAAAACAUUAUUUAAUACAAUGACAAAGCCUAGAAUCAAUUGUAAACGACUUUUGUAACAGGCAAGGUGUUGUAAGUGGUUGAGCAGCUGCCAUACUGCGAUCCACUGAAGCUUAUCCUUUGCUUGAUGAUUCGA